GAUGAGGAUGCGAGUUGAAAUGCGCCGCGACGCGCCAUGAUCUUUCCCGUGCCCCCACUGCUGGCACUGCGUAGCAGCGGUGGUAGCGGCGCAGUGGCGCGCAGGCGUGUGGGCGUGGCCACGUGUCAGUCACGCCGCUACGCAGUGCGCAGUGCUACGCAGUGCCAGCAGUCGGUCGGUUAGGGAGCACGGCGGUAGGUCGCGGUGCAUCGCAGCUAGUCGCAGCGCAUUUCAACUCGUAUCCUCGUCAUCCCGUACGAGUGUUUGAUGCGAGCGAGCGUUUCGAGAAUGUCGUGGACUGCCGAAAGUCAAGUGUCGGCCUUCGUACCGACAUCUGUCGUGUCGAAUGCAUGGUGCGAAGUCGUGUCGCGUUCAAUCGUGUUUCGCAGCUCCUCUGUUGUCUCUUAUUCCGAGUUUUCGACACGCGUGAGCAUCAGGAGGGUUUCGAGAGUUCCGAAAACAAAGGUUUGCGCGUUCGUGCCAAGUGUGAAUCAAGACGAAUCGUCGUGAGGAGAAUCUUGGAUCUUUCGUGUCGCUCAGACGACAAUGAUCGGUCGGGAUGGCACGAAGUCGCGUCGCUCGUUCAAUCGCGUCUUUUCCGUUGCCCCGUAUCCCGUAUCUUGAGUUUUCGACGAGUGUGAGUAUCGGGGAUGCCGAAAACGAACCAAGUGUCGCGCGUUUGUGCCAAGUAUGAAUCGAGAGGAGAAUCUUGGAUCUUCGAAAGCGGCGGCUGAGACUACGAGACGGAACUGGACGGAGCGAUCAGCGAACGGUGAGUCAAUUUAUUUAUACGAGUAUCUACUGUUUAUUUGCCCUCACAUUUCAGUAUUUGUGUCUCAUCCUGAUUGCGCUCGCAUAAAUUGCGACUCAAUAAAUCGCGCAUAAGCCGUUAGGAUGGAAAAAAUUUAAAGUUCGUGUACGCGCGCUCGGCACUCAUCUCUUCGCCAGGUGUGCCAACAGACGCGAUUGAUGCACUUUCCGAGAACGAGUCAAUCGAGAGCGGCUCCGGGACAAACGUCAUCGCGACGUCUAACUGAACGCGGCGGACGCGGGACAGACCGGCUCCGGAACGGGUGGCAUCGCAAAGACUUCAACAGAACGCGGCACGCGCAUGACGGAUCGAAACCGGAGCGAGCGGCGUCGCAGCUUGUUUAAUAGAACGCGUUAGACAUUUUCACAAGACACGGGACAUGAUGAGUAGCAAUUUUAAUUGAACGUGACGGAUGCGAAAUAGAUCUGCUUCGAAACGAAAGGCAUCGCAACUGACAACUUGUGAAAAGAAGGAAGAAGAGAAGAGAAGUUAACAAUUUCAAAGUAGGAAAAGGAGGCUUAGCAUUAGGCAUCGGGCAUUGAUGGAGCAACAUAGUGAUUCAUUGUAGCUACGUUGCUGACAACUCCACUGAGCGCAUCGGGCAAUAUUCCCCGAAAUGGAAAUCAACGAGUAGAAGCCAAAUCAUCCAUCGUCGCCGAAAUAUAAAAUAAACGAACCGCACCCAGUUUGCCGCGUCGCACGUUUUAAUAUUUUGGGAGUGCCGUUCAAGUUAUCGAAUUUAGACUCUUGUAAAUGAUUAGUCCGCGGGCGAUUUUAGUAUAGUAUCGCGAGUGUUUUUUGUGAGUGUGCAACAGAAGGAAUAAAAGAGAAAGAGGCCUGCCUAUCUAAGUAUUCUGAGAGGAGGAGGGGGCCUGGGAGAGGCAUCGGGCCUCAGCGGAGCAACCUUGGGUAUCAUCGCAGCUUCGUGGCUGAUUAACUCCGCUCGUUGCGCAUCGGGUCGGUGAGUCAAAAAUCAAUUUUUUUAUUUCUGCUUUUAAUGUUGUGCAGUGUUUUGUGAAGGAUCAAGGAGAAGAACACUGAAAAAAAAGAGUUAGAUAAUAGUUGCCCAAUAAUGGGUGAAAUAGAACUAAAUAAUUAAAUAUUUGAUUAAUAUAAUUAAAAAUUUUAUAUUCUUGAACAUUUUGUAAAUAU